UUAUCAUUAUUAAUGAUGAGUAAUGAUUUUUUAUACAGUGAACUGUUAUUAUAAUAUAACAAUUUAAUUAUUUCAUAAAAUUAUAUUAAUUGAAAAUUGUGUUCUUAUUUCCCAGUCCAUUUUAGUACUAACUGACAUCAAUAAUGGUAAGAAUUUAAAAAAUUGUUUUAAUAAUUAUUUUUAAAAACUAUUUAAUAUUUUCUAAUUUAAAUACAGCUCCAUCAUAUAAAAGUAAAAGAUUGGUAUGGCCAGAAGAAUUACCAAUUGGCGAUAGAAUUAAAAAUCAAUUAAAUUAUAUACCAAAAGGCUACAAUUAUGAGAAGACACCUGUUAAAACGAUUUUAAUUUAUACCGGAAUGGGUUCCCCUUGGGAAAGACCUCAACUUGGUCUCGGCCAAUUUUUUGGUUGUCCUGUAAGUCAAUGCAUGUUAACAGUGAACACUUCAUUAGCCCCAAAAGUUGAUGCUGUGCUAUUUAGACAUAUUUUCAUUCGUCCGUCUUAUAAAAGACCACCAAAUCAGGUAUGAAUAUUAAAAAUAUUAUAUUUUUUUUUUUGCUUGAUCAAUUAUAUAAACAAUAAUAAAUUACUCGGUACUCCAACCAUAACUUUGUUUAUGUGAUGAUAUUCUGCACGCCACACAUGUCUUGCCCAUUUUAGUAUUUUGCUUUCCGGAAAUUGGUAAAUAUUUGGUUAAUUUAAUAAGCUUUGUGUAUCGUCAUUAUUCCUUCUGUCGAAAAUUCUUGAAUCUAAAUUAUACACCGUUCCACAUAAUUAUUUUUAAAUUUUCCUUUUAUAGCCCUCACCUAUUAUAUAAGUAAAUGAGGACGAUAUUAAGGGAGAUACCAUGCUACGUUUUAAAAAUUAAAAUUUAUUUUGUUCACAAUUACAGUCAUUUUAAAAUAUCGGAAUUGACGUUAUUUCUGAACGAUGUACUGAGCAUUAUGUUCGGAAUAAUGGCAAAAACGCACAGUAUAUAGUAUACGCGUAAUCAAUUUUAUUUCAANUGGUGUGUAGUAUGUUGUACAUGCACAUUACGUCACUGAUAUACCUGGUAAUUCUUUGAAGUGAGUAGGUACCAUCAUUUACUCGGAAAGUAGUGGAGCUUUAUUAAAAUGCUACACUACUCUCGCCCUACCAAAACUAAAAAAAGGAAUAUCUCAUUUACAGGUUUACAGAAAUCAAAAAUUUUUUACACCAACAUGUAUUUAAGCUAAUACUCCAUCAAUUUAUGAAAUUUAUUAUAUAGAUUGCCAUUUGAAAAUCAAUAGUAGGUUGUCGUUUCAUUCACAAAAAUAAUGAUAAAAAAAAAAUAGAGUAUUGAAAAAAAAUAUAUGUAUAGGUACAAUUGUGGUAGGUUUCAGCUUUUUCGACAUAUUGCUUAAUCAGUUCCUGUAACCAAGUUUUUAUAAACAUCGUAUAUUUUUUUUUUGUUAAAAGCUUUUUAAUAACAUUUCCGAGAACUCGAGAAUAUAUAUUCAAUAUUCAUUCUUAUGGAGAAAUUAAUUUUUUAAAUUUCAAUAUUAUUACAAUGUGAUGUUGUUAUCACUAAUGUCAUUUUGAACGAUUUAAAUAUUAAUAAUGAUAUAACUAUUCACUCAAAUCAUUAUUUUGACUACGUGAAGUAAUUGAUUAUCUUUUUAUAAUGUUAUUAAUUUGUCUUCACAGCUUUUAAUUUUAUAUUCUUAGGUAUAUGCGUUUCACCACCAGAAAUAUAACUUCACGGUAUUUCCAGUUUAUGAGUUAAAUUUAGUAGAAAUUAAGUUCGUGGAUUUUUAAUUUCAGUAUAAAAAUUAUAUAUUAUUAAUUAUAUCAUAAACAUUAAGUAUUACUAAUUAUUGAUCAUACUAUAUAAUUUUUAUUAUAAACACGGAUGCCAUUUUAUUUUAGAUUUGGAUUAUUGAACAUACUGAAGCACCUUAUGCAACAUCGCAUAUAAAUGAUAACGGUGAUUUUAAUUGGACAGUUAACUAUCGUUGGGAUAGUGACAUACCGCGACCUUAUGGGUAUUUUAAAAAAUAUGAACCUGAACAACCCUUGCCAAGUAUUGUUAAAAAUUAUGCAGAAGGUAAAACUAAACAAGUUGCUUGGUUCGUGUCAAAUUGUAAUCCCAAUAAUAAACGUAACGAAUAUGCUGCUGAACUUUCAAAAUAUAUUUCGGUUGAUAUAUAUGGUCUUUGUGGUACUCUACAAUGUCUCAGAUCUAAUGAAGAAGAAUGUUUCAAGAUGUUGAAUGAAGAUUAUAAAUUUUACUUAGCUUUUGAAAACGCAAACUGUGCAUAUUACAUUACGGAAAAAUUUUUCUUAAAUUCACU